rnacentral:rRNA from 1 species
AGCCUGCGGUUAAUUGGACUCAACGCCGGGCAGCUCACCGGAUAAGACAGCUGGAUGAUAGCCGGGCUGAAGACUCUGCUUGACUAGCUGAGAGGAGGUGCAUGGCCGUCGUCAGUUCGUACUGUGAAGCAUCCUGUUAAGUCAGGCAACGAGCGAGACCCACGCCAACAGUUGCCAGCAUGUCCUCCGGGAUGAUGGGGACACUGUUGGGACCGCCUCUGCUAAAGAGGAGGAAGGAAUGGGCAACGGUAGGUCAGCAUGCCCCGAAUUAUCCGGGCUACACGCGGGCUACAAUGGUCAGGACAAUGGGUAUCGACACCGAGAGGUGGAGGCAAUCUCCUAAACCCAUCCGUAGUUCGGAUUGUGGGCUGCAACUCGCCCACAUGAAGCUGGAAUCUGUAGUAAUCGUGUCUCAAAAUGGCACGGUGAAUAUGUCCCUGCUCCUU